CCUACGGGUGGCUGCAGUGAGGAAUAUUGGUCAAUGGACGCAAGUCUGAACCAGCCAUGCCGCGUGCAGGAAGACGGCUCUAUGAGUUGUAAACUGCUUUUGUACGAGGGUAAACGCAGAUACGCGUAUCUGUCUGAAAGUAUCGUACGAAUAAGGAUCGGCUAACUCCGUGCCAGCAGCCGCGGUAAUACGGAGGAGUCAAGCGUUAUCCGGUUUUAUUGGGUUUAAGGGGUGCGCAGGCGGAGGUGCCAGUCAGCGGUAAAAGCCCGGGGCUCAACCCCGGCCCGCCGUUGAAACUGGCAGUCUCGAGUUGGAGAGAAGUAUGCGGAAUGCGCGGUGUAGCGGUGAAAUGCAUAGAUAUCGCGCAGAACGCCGAUUGCGAAGGCAGCAUGCCGGCUCCACACUGACGCUGAGGCACGAAAGCGUGGGUAUCGAACAGGAUUAGAUACCCGGGUAGUC
rnacentral:rRNA from 1 species